rnacentral:rRNA from 1 species
AUUGAACGCUGGCGGCAGGCCUAACACAUGCAAGUCGAGCGAGCGGCGGACGGGUGAGUAAUGUAUGGGGACUGCCCGAUAGAGGGGGAUAACUACUGGAAACGGUGGCCAAUACCGCAUACUAUCGGAUAACCCAUAUGGGAUUAGCUAGUAGGUGGGGUAAAGGCUCACCUGGGAGACGAUCUCUAGCUGGUCUGGAAGGAUGAUCAGCCACACUGGAACGGGGAAACGCCCCGGAGUCCUACGGAGGCAGCAGUGGGGAAUAUUGCACAAGGGGCGCAAGCCUGAUGAGGCCAUGCGGCGUGUAUGAAGAGGGCCUUAGGGUUGUAAGGUACUUUCAGCGGGGAGGCGUUACCCGCAGAAGAAGCACCGGCUAACUCCGUGCCAGCCGCCGCGGUAAUAC